CCGCCGGCGACCGGCGCACGGGUGAGUAACGCGUAUGCAACCUGCCCGUUUCAGCGGGAUAACCCGGAGAAAUCCGGCCUAAUACCGCAUGUGGCCGAGGGGAGGCAUCUUCUUUCGGCCAAAGGAGGCGACUCCGGAGACGGAUGGGCAUGCGUGACAUUAGCUUGUUGGCGGGGUAACGGCCCACCAAGGCGACGAUGUCUAGGGGUUCUGAGAGGAAGGUCCCCCACACUGGUACUGAGACACGGACCAGACUCCUACGGGAGGCAGCAG
rnacentral:rRNA from 1 species